GACGAACGCUGGCGGCGUGCUUAACACAUGCAAGUCGAACGGAAAGGCCUCUUUCGGGGGGUACUCGAGUGGCGAACGGGUGAGUAACACGUGAGUAACCUGCCCUUGACUUUGGGAUAACUUCAGGAAACUGGGGCUAAUACCGGAUAGGAGCUCCUGCUGCAUGGUGGGGGUUGGAAAGUUUCGGCGGUUGGGGAUGGACUCGCGGCUUAUCAGCUUGUUGGUGGGGUAGUGGCUUACCAAGGCUUUGACGGGUAGCCGGCCUGAGAGGGUGACCGGCACAUUGGGACUGAGAUACGGCCCAGACUCCUACGGGAGGCAGCAGUGGGGAAUAUUGCACAAUGGGUGGAAGCCUGAUGCAGCAACGCCGUGUGCGGGAUGACGGCCUUCGGGUUGUAAACCGCUUUCGCUCAUGACGAAGCUUUGUGUGACGGUAGUGGGUAAAGAAGCACCGGCUAACUACGUG
rnacentral:rRNA from 1 species